CACUAAGAAGCUAAAACGGACCCAGCGUUAGCCUUUUAAGCUAAAGAUUGGUGGCUCCUAACCACCCCUAGUGA
rnacentral:tRNA from 1 species